GACGAACCGUGCAAACGUUGUUCGGAAUCACUGGGCUUAAAGGGCGCGUAGGCGGGCGGUCAAGUCUGUGGUGAAAUCCUCCGGCUCAACCGGAGAAUAGCUGGAGAUACUGACCGUCUCGAGGGGGGUAGGGGCAUGUGGAACUUCCGGUGGAGCGGUGAAAUGCGUAGAUAUCGGAAGGAACGCCGGUGGCGAAAGCGACGUGCUGGACCCUUACUGACGCUGAUGCGCGAAAGCUAGGGGAGCAAACAGG
rnacentral:rRNA from 1 species